rnacentral:lncRNA from 1 species
GGAGACAAUAAAAAUCAGAAAGCAUAAAAUAAGAGAGAACACUUUCCAUGUGUGACAAUUGUGACAAUAAAUAUACAGAUGAUACAGGAUUAAAGUAACAGGGUUAAAUUAAAGCUUUUUACAAUAAUCAUACAAGUACAAACUAGAAAACCAAAGAAGAGGGGGCAAACAAGUUAAAAAGAUGGCUAGAUUGAGAAGUGACACCACCAUGAGACUAGAGUAGGAAAUACCAGUCUUCAUCUUCCCUGCGAAAAAUAAACUAUAGACAGCAAUUUACAAAUCAAAAAAGCCCUAGCAGGGCUCAAAGGCCUAUUAAACAAUCUGCAGCAACACAAUGAAGCAACACAGAUAAUAUCUAAAUAGAAAGGAUAGAAAGGAUCACUGGUGAGAUUAGCAUACCUGAGACACCAGGAGAUGGCUAGGAACAAAGAAAAAAAGCACAGGUUACCAGUAUCAGCCAUGCAGCAGGAACUAUCAUGGUCCCCAGUGGCCUGCUCCACAGAGGACACUAGAAUGCUUUGCUACUGAGGUAACCAACCAUUUACCGCCAGGGAAUCACAGAAAGAGAGAUGUAGCUGCAUUCCCCAUAACCUUACUAUUAAGCCACUAUGAUAAAAGAGCUGCCAUUUCUCCCAAACCUACAUGUGUCUUGAAGCCUGAGCAGCAGCUUUCUUGUGAGUGUCCACCAGACUCAGGCUAUGUAACUAUACCCACCCAUGUCUCAGACACCACAGUCAUCCUUGUAGUGAGUUAGUUCACACUCUGGGCCUGGACCCAAGCUCUCACUGUGCAUGUCUGUGUUCCAGGAUUGGGCUAAGCUACAUAGAGAAGUAGGCCCUGCCUUUACCCCAGAACUGGUGUAACUGCAAACACCUAUUCUCUCAUUCUUGGCUCUCUGACUGCUUCAAAAAACCCUGUUUGUCACAUACUGUUGCCAACAUGGUAGGAGAAUUGACUAUGCCCCACACACCCGUGCCAUUUCCAACCUGGAUCUCUGAACUGAAGUCCUUCAAUACAUGCCUGUACUUUGGGCCUCGGUUCCAUGGCUGCUUCAUGGGUACCACUCAUUGGACAUGGGUACCACUGCAACCAUGAGCAGGCCCACAAACCAGACCCACUGCCAACAAGAAUCCACUUAGCCACAGCUUCCCCAGAGGGAGAAAAAUAGAUCAGGAGAAUCUUAGCAGUCAUUGCCACUGAAGAUUCCAACAACACUUGCAGCCAAUGCAGAUAUUCAGGCCACUGAGGAUCUCGUAAAUAUUUACUGAUAUCAACUUCAGUUGUCAGGGCCACAAAGUAGCUAUAAAGAUGCACCCUCGCUACUGCCAGAACUGUGGCACCUCACCCAGCAAGCACCCAUGCACUCUACCAUAGGAAAAAGUUUUUCCAUCAGGAAACCAACCUAUAAAGUCUGAAAGAGGUGACUCCUCCACCAAGCAUUCAAAUGUCAGCAUAAGGCAACAAGAAACAUGAAAAAAAAAAAAAAA